CAGUCGCCGCGGUAAUACGUAGGUGGCAAGCGUUGUCCGGAAUUAUUGGGCGUAAAGGGCUCGCAGGCGGUUUCUUAAGUCUGAUGUGAAAGCCCCCGGCUCAACCGGGGAGGGUCGUUGGAAACUGGGAAACUUGAGUGCAGAAGAGGAGAGUGGAAUUCCACGUGUAGCGGUGAAAUGCGUAGAGAUGUGGAGGAACACCAGUGGCGAAGGCGACUCUCUGGUCUGUAACUGACGCUGAGGAGCGAAAGCGUGGGGAGCGAACAGGAUUAGAUACCCCUGUAGUCCCUGUCUCUUAUAC
rnacentral:rRNA from 1 species